GAUGAACGCUGGCGGCGUGCCUAAUACAUGCAAGUCGAGCGAACGGACGAGAAGCUUGCUUCUCUGAUGUUAGCGGCGGACCGGUGAGUAACACGUGGAUAACCUACCUAUAAGACUGGGAUAACUUCGGGAAACCGUAGCUAAUACCGGAUAAUAUUUUGAACCGCAUGGUUCAAAAGUGAAAGACGGUCUUGCUGUCACUUAUAGAUGGAUCCGCGCUGCAUUAGCUAGUUGGUAAGGUAACGGCUUACCAAGGCAACGAUGCAUAGCCGACCUGAGAGGGUGAUCGGCCACACUGGAACUGAGACACGGUCCAGACUCCUACGGGAGGCAGCAGUAGGGAAUCUUCCGCAACGGGCGAAAGCCUGACGGAGCAACACCGCGUGAGUGAUGAAGGUCUUCGGAUCGUAAAACUCUGUUAUUAGGGAAGAACAUAUGUGUAAGUAACUGUGCACAUCUUGACGGUACCUAAUCAGAAAGCCACGGCUAACUACGUG
rnacentral:rRNA from 1 species